rnacentral:tRNA from 1 species
UGGGUUGUGGCUCAGUGGUAGAGUGCUCCCCUAAUACAGGAGAUACCCUAGGUUUGAGCCUCAGCAUCACAU